CGCUGACGAGUGGCGGACGGGUGAGUAAUGUCUGGGAAACUGCCUGAUGGAGGGGGAUAACUACUGGAAACGGUAGCUAAUACCGCAUAACGUCGCAAGACCAAAGAGGGGGACCUUCGGGCCUCUUGCCAUCGGAUGUGCCCAGAUGGGAUUAGCUUGUUGGUGGGGUAACGGCUCACCAAGGCGACGAUCCCUAGCUGGUCUGAGAGGAUGACCAGCCACACUGGAACUGAGACACGGUCCAGACUCCUACGGGAGGCAGCAGUGGGGAAUAUUGCACAAUGGGCGCAAGCCUGAUGCAGCCAUGCCGCGUGUAUGAAGAAGGCCUUCGGGUUGUAAAGUACUUUCAGCGGGGAGGAAGGGAGUAAAGUUAAUACCUUUGCUCAUUGACGUUACCCGCAGAAGAAGCACCGGCUAACUCCGUGCCAGCAGCCGCGGUAAUACGGAGGGUGCAAGCGUUAAUCGGAAUUACUGGGCGUAAAGCGCACGCAGGCGGUUUGUUAAGUCAGAUGUGAAAUCCCCGGGCUCAACCUGGGAACUGCAUCUGAUACUGGCAAGCUUGAGUCUCGUAGAGGGGGGUAGAAUUCCAGGUGUAGCGGUGAAAUGCGUAGAGAUCUGGAGGAAUACCGGUGGCGAAGGCGGCCCCCUGGACGAAGACUGACGCUCAGGUGCGAAAGCGUGGGGAGCAAACAGGAUU
rnacentral:rRNA from 1 species